UAUGGCCACAUCAUGUUUAAACAUUGGUUCCUAUACAAUCACUGAAGUUAAGCAUAAUUGUACCUGGUCAGUACCUAGGUGGGUGACUGCUUGGGAAUACCUGGUGCUGUAAG